rfam:Otolemur garnettii contig046300, whole genome shotgun sequence.
UUACUUUAUUCUCAUGUGCUUGUGGGCGCCAUCCACCCAUCCUCUGGGCAAAUGCCCGUCUGACUUCUGUUGUAGUCACAUAACCAAAAAAGACAACAACAAUAAAAAUAAGAAGGAAAAUAUUU